AAGAGCGUCAUAGAGCGGCUCCAGCCCCGGCUGCUGACCUUGCUGCCGAAGGCCCGGGACCCCCGGACCACGUGCCAGGAACUGGGCGUGUGUGAGCCUGGGCCGGGCCCCGCUCCUGGAGCCGAGGGCUGCGCGCUGGGACCAGCCUAUUGGUGCUCCAGCCUGGAGGCGGCCAAGCGGUGCCAGGCUGUGCAGCACUGCCAGGCCCACGGCUGGGCAUAGCCGGAGACAUGCCAGGCCACGGCUCCUCUACC